GAAGAAAAAAAACAAGAAAAAAGAUAACUCCAAAUAAUAAAUUCAAACAAACUUAAAACAGAAGAAGCAUACUUUUCUCUCUCUCUCGCCUUUCUCUCGCCUUUCUCCUGAAACCCCUCUCUUUUUCUUUUUUCCUCUUUUUUCUUCCCU
rnacentral:ribozyme from 13 species